rnacentral:rRNA from 1 species
AUUGAACGCUGGCGGCAUGCCUUACACAUGCAAGUCGAACGGCAGCGGGGGAGAAGCUUGCUUUUCCUGCCGGCGAGUGGCGAACGGGUGAGUAAUACAUCGGAACGUGCCCCGUAGUGGGGGAUAACUAGUCGAAAGAUUAGCUAAUACCGCAUACGACCUGAGGGUGAAAGGGGGGGACCGCAAGGCCUCAUGCUAUAGGAGCGGCCGAUGUCUGAUUAGCUAGUUGGUGGGGUAAAGGCCUACCAAGGCGACGAUCAGUAGCUGGUCUGAGAGGACGAUCAGCCACACUGGGACUGGGACACGGCCCAGACUCCUACGGGAGGCAGCAGUGGGGAAUUUUGGACAAUGGGCGAAAGCCUGAUCCAGCAAUGCCGCGUGUGUGAAGAAGGCCUUCGGGUUGUAAAGCACUUUUGUCCGGAAAGAAAUGGCUCUGGUUAAUACCUGGGGUCGAUGACGGUACCGGAAGAAUAAGGACCGGUUAACUACGUGCCAGCCGCCGCCGUAA